GUGUUCCCUUGUUUUACACCCUCACCUGGUCAUCAAGAAAAUAGUUGAGCAAGAAACAACUAAACAAGUGGUCAUUACUGACAGUAUUUAUAGAGCAGUUAAAAUUUUGUAUAUUAUAGCAAUGCAAAUAACAGUAAAUGUCUAUUUCAGACUGGUGAGUGUAUGACUAGUCAUUUACACCAAGAAAUGAGACUUCUUUACAAGUUCAUGGCUGGCUUUGUUCUAAUGUGUGCAAUCACAUGAGUCUUGUCCGUCACAAUGGUAAAGUUGAAAAUCGCUAAAUAUGGUGAUAACCCUCCAGCUGCCUGAAUGGGAGUGAGAACAUACUUUAGACAUUCCAUCAGAAGUAGUCUCUGUAUUGUUCAAGUCUGUCCGAGAGUACUACAUGGGAAGUCACAACCAAGAUCAUACCGAAGUUGCAGUUCCACGAGUCAUCCCAAGGGAUUUAGCCUGACCUGAAAGAUAAAGUGUCAGCUGAUUCAGUUGUGUCUGUAACCAAGAAGUUUGUUUUUGGCCUGAUUUCUAGAGAUCUUCAUGAAGAAAUCGUCAACUAUCAAUUAUGCAGCAAGGCAGAAUAUCCCGAUCACACUUAGGAAGGAGGCGUUUCCUUGCACUGUCAACACCUGCACUGUCAUUGUAGAAUCUGCUACACAGUAAUGCUGACACUGAGUGUUGCUUGACUGUAAUUAUCUGGAAAAUUCAGACAGUUGAUUGAAAUAAUUUAUCAAAUAGUAAUUAUAAUAAUAAUGUAUUUUUUUCAAGAGGCAACACAGUUGGACAUGCCCAGUCUUCCCUGUGAGCCUCUGUAAUAUUUACAUGUAUACAGUUACAAGAUUGACAAUGUUUAAGAAAAUAUACAAUGAGAGAUUACAUAUAAAGGUAAACAAUAACACAGUAAAGAUAUGUCAUGAAAUGAUUAAUAAUUUUGAAGUGAACUGAAUGAAUACUAAAGACUCACAGGACUGUAACAGUUUUUUGCCCACGUAAUGUACAGAAGAUUUGUGUAGUGAUGUUAAAGUUUUACAUAAAAUGGGAUAAAAAUUAAACACCUUGAUAGUU